AACGAACGCUGGCGGCAUGCCUAACACAUGCAAGUCGAACGAGACCUUCGGGUCUAGUGGCGCACGGGUGCGUAACGCGUGGGAAUCUGCCCUCUGGUUCGGAAUAACUCAGGGAAACUUGAGCUAAUACCGGAUAAUGACUUCGGUCCAAAGAUUUAUCGCCUGAGGAUGAGCCCGCGUCGGAUUAGCUAGUUGGUGAGGUAAAAGCUCACCAAGGCGACGAUCCGUAGCUGGUCUGAGAGGAUGAUCAGCCACACUGGGACUGAGACACGGCCCAGACUCCUACGGGAGGCAGCAGUGGGGAAUAUUGGACAAUGGCGAAAGCCUGAUCCAGCAAUGCCGCGUGAGUGAUGAAGGCCUUAGAGUUGUAAAGCUCUUUUACCCGGGAUGAUAAUGACAGUACCGGGAGAAUAAGCCCCGGCUAACUCCGUGCCAGCCGCCGCGGUAAUAC
rnacentral:rRNA from 1 species